GAUAUUUUGCUUUCGUUUGUCGUUUCGAUGGUCACUGGCAGCGAGGCAAGUUUUGCUCACUAGCGUCUGCGCCGUUCCCGUGUCGGACUCCCCGGGAGCUCCGAGGUCACCGCGAUGCGCUGUCUAUAUGUGUGGUACCAAUGGAAUGUACUAGGUGGACUUGCUCUAAAAGUGGUGCUGAUGAAGACCUGCUUGCAAACGUUCAGUUAUUGCAGAAUCAGCUGAGGAGAACUGAAAAAAACCUUCAAACAGUAGAGAAAGAGCUUUCCAGUACAAAUGAACAUUAUGGCCACCGUUUUGCUGAGGCGACAGACUUCGCUCUGGAGGAUUUUGUACAGCCUAAUUAUAACAGUCAAGGCUUUUCCAACCCCAAGAAGAAUUGUGGUAAAACAUCUGUCCAAGAUUUUCAAAGAAAACCCAAAUCUUACUCAGUAUCCACAACUUCGGAUAAAACUGUGGAAGAAAAUGAACGUCUUCAAGAGCAAAAUGCAUCUUUGACUUCUCAGAACCACUACCUAAAGAACAGAGUGGAAACAAUGAACUUUGAAUUGAUGCAGUCAAAAAAAAAAAUUUCGUAUCUUGAAUCCACUUUAGGUACACCUUUAGUCAGCAUUCCGAAGUUGAAAGAACAGAUUUUAAACUUGGAAGCAGAAGUUUCAGCUCAAGAUAAAAUUCUGAAAGAUGCAGAAGAUAGACUAGAUCAAAACCAGAAAACAGCACUGGAAAGAGAAAACAUGUUGCAAAGAUAUCAAAAGGGCUAUAAAAAUCUGAAAAUGGAGUUAAUUGAACGGAGCAAGCAAGGAAAGAGAGCAGAACAGCAAAGAAAUGAAGCUUUGCUGAAUGUGAAGGAGCUGACAAGAGCUUUCAAAAAGUAUAAAGCAGAAAUAACUGAAAAAUUAGAAAAGGUUAAAGCUGAAGAAUUAGUCUUGGGAAAACGUUUAAUUAAUUGUGAAAAAGAAAAAGAGAAGUUGAUUGAAAAGUGUAUCAGCUACAGAAAGGAUCUAAACAUCCUAGAAGAGCAACUAAGGCAAUUAAAGGAAGAGAAUAGUAGCACAAAAGAAGAAAUUAAGACUCUAGAGGCAAAGAACACUGAAAUUACAUCAAUGCUGAGUCGGUCUGAUCAGAAGAUCAUCAAGCUUGAGAGUGAGCUUUCUGAAAAAGAAAAUGUGCUUAAAGAGCAAAAUGCUCUAAUAAGUGAAAAUGCAGAGCUGAGAGCACUUACUGCACAGCAACAUAACCACUUGAAAUUAUGUCAUCAAGAAAUUGAGAAUUCAAGGGAAGAGCUCAACAUACUAGAAACCAUUAUUUCUCAGUUGUCUUCAAGUACAUCUGAAGAGUUUAAAUGGCACCAUUUCAAACAGCAGCUUUUGAGUUCCUCAACAAAAGAAGUUAUCUCAGAGUCUUGUGGUGAAUCAAGUAAACCUUUGAUUGCAGACCUAAGCAUUAAACUGUCAAUGAAAGAAGCUGAAAUUCAAAAGCCUCAUGCAAACUUAACUAUCUGUACUGGAGCUGAGCAUCUGUCUAAUGAUAAUGAAGGACAAGAAAAUAGCAGGUUAUGUGGCCUGGAAACAGAGCCUGUCAAAUUGAUCAGAAGUCAAGGAGAGAGGAGAAAAUGCCAACAGUUGGAACUUAUAAGCAAGCAAUUUGAAAAGAUGAGGCGAAGAUUCCAGAAAGAGAUAGAAGAGUUACGCACUAAACUGACAAAAGCAGAUGAUGAAAAUUCUUCUUUGAAGAGCAGCAUGGCUCAAAGGACCAGCCAGUUUCAAAUCAUACAGGAAGACCUACUGAAGAAGGCUUCAAAAACUAGUAGCUUAGAGAAAGAAAUGAGAAAGAAAUCUUAUCAACUUUCUGAACUUGAGGAACAGUUGGAAGAAAAGACUAUUGCUUAUUCCACUGCUGCAGCAAGAAAUGCUGAGUUGGAACAGGAACUCAUGGAAAAAAGCAGACACAUUCAUGAGUUGGAAGCAACUAUCAGUGAAGAACAUGAGAAAAUAAAUUCUGCUUUUGAAAAUGCAAAGUUGGUUCACCUUGAGCAGCACGAAGAGAUGAAGAAACAGAUAGAACUACUUCAGACACAGCUGGAGCAGAAACAUCAACAAUUCAUUGAACAAGAGAAAAUAAUAUCUGUUUUACAACAAGAGGUUAUACAUAAACAGCUUCAUUACAUUGAAUCAUUGGAUGGGCUGCUGAUAGGAAGCAGAGAGGUACAACAACUCGAGUCAGCAUUAAAGGUAUGUAAGGAAGAAGUUGUAAUGUAUUUGAGUCAGUCACAAGAAAAUAAGGAGGUGUUUGAAAAUCAGCUCAAAGACAGGUCUGAAGAGCUUCAUCAUUUGCAGAAAGAAAUAAAAAUAAAAGAUCAGAAUAUUCAGGACAUGAGUGAACAAACUAUUCUCCUACAAACUUUGCUUCAUCAUCAGCAAAUGUUACAGCACGAAACUAUUAGAAAUGGGGAGCUGGAAGAUAAUCAGAUUAAACUUGAACAACAGGUAUCCACUUUGGAAAAGGAGCUUCAGAAGCAGAAAGCAUGUGCAGCAGAUGAGUUGAGAAAGGUAGAGGAGAAACUUCGCUUAGCUGCUCAGGAAGCAGAUUUAAACGGACAGAAGGUGGAUGAACUGAAUUGUACAAUCAGGCAGAUUAAAUUGGAGAUGGAUCAGUGCAAAAAUGAACUUAUUGAUAUGGAAAAAGAAGUAGUGCAAUUACAACAAGAUGGUGAAAACAAAACAGUGCAGAUAAAUCAGUUGGAUAUCACUUUGGAAGAAGCAAGAUCAGAGCUCAAUAAAAAGGCAAAUGAGGUGAAUGAUUUAGAAGAUAAGCUGCUUCAAAGUGAGACUUGCCACAGGGAAGCCUUACAGAAAAUAGCAGAACUAGAAUCUGCAUUACAGAAUGCCCGUGGAGAAUUAAAAAUCACUUUAACACAGCUUCAGGAAUUGCAAGAUGCAUUACAGAAUGCACAGUCCUCUCUGGAGGAGAAGCACAUUGCUAUCAUGGAGCUAACAACUGAGCUCAGGUAUUGCAAGGGUGAAGUUGAAGACAAAAACCAAGAACUCCUUGAAAUGGACCAAGCACUGAAAGAAAGGAAUUGGGAACUGAAACAAAGAGCAGCUCAGAUUACACAGCUGGAUAUGACAGUUCGUGCAUAUAGGGAAGAAAUGGAACAACAAAUAAUUCAAUUACAGUGCAAUUUAGAAAAGUCAGAGUUGGAAAUCAAGGAAUGCAAUAAAAAGAUUGAGAGCUUAGAGAAGAAACUUCAGCAUUCUAAAGAUCAGCUUCGUGAAAAAGAGUUUGAAUUGCUCCAGAGAGACCAAGAAAUAAAUCAUCUGAAGAAAAAAAGAAAUCAAAGAAAACAACAUAGCCUAGAAGCUCUUGAAAAGGUAAAAUGUACACAACAAAUGAUCAAUUUUUAAUGCCAUUACUGUACCUGCCUAGAAGGAACUAUACAGUGUCUCUUUAGCGUAAGUGUCAUUAAUUCUCCCAGAAUCAUUGUAUUUUAUAUCCUGGUGUUUGCUGAAUCUUAAUCCCCUGAAGUUAAACCAGUUUAGUUAUUUAAAAAUUACGAAUUUAAUGGCACACUUAAUUGUCUGCUUUCUGUGGAGAAAUUUGAAUACUGAUUAUCAUUAGUAACCCUGUUUUCUGACUGUGGACAACACGGUCUUCCUUGAAAUGAAACAAAACAACAUGCUGUUUAAUGAGGGCUUCUCAUGAUUUAGGUACUAUCUUGCAAAAAUUAUUGCAUCCAAAGAGCCCUGAUAUGUGGCAUGUUUAUAGGAACGAGAAGUGAGAGUUUUUUGGCAUAGUGAAUGGGAGCCUAUGGAUAGAAUAAACUUUAUAGAUGACUUUAUGAAUUAUGCAAAUCUUUGGUUUGGUGCAUGAAUCAGUCCCUACAAAUAUAAAUGUGACCUGAGAUAAGUAGGCUUUGUGCAGAUGAUUGCCAGCUAGAGGUAAACUCCAAAGCCACAAUGGCUCCUGCUACUUUGGUUGUGCUGCAUUUGUGUGUUUCUUUUCCCUAGGGUGAGAUAUCAGAGAAGGCUUAUUUCUGUGUGGUCACCAAAAGCAUUUGAUCUGUAUUCUAGAUCAUGGGGGCUUGGCAGUGUAACAGCUGAAUAUGAAGGUUGUUUCACUGCCAAUUAAAGCAGUGUCAGCUCUCCUGUCUUGUUUUCUGUUAGGUUGUUUAUGACACUCGAGAACAGGACAGUGACUGCUGCUACCUUUCACACAUAUCAUUAACAUAUUUCCAACUUUUCCUAAGGGAUGAUUCUGAAGGAAAGAAUUUCCUAGCUAGCCCCUGUACAGCUGCUGGCUAGACCCUUUCUUUCCAGACAAAUUGCCUUGUUAUUGUUUUUGCUAAGGAAUACCAGGUAGGGAGAGGCCUUAGAAUGAUAUAAGAAAGGGUUUGAAAAUAGAUCUACUCCAGUCAUGUUCCUUUAGAGACUUGGGAUGAAGAAAAAGAAAUUUUAUUUUCAUUGUAAUGAGAUGGAUAAAACACUAGAUUUUGGAAGCAUUCUGCAUAAAAUACAAAAUACAUUGCAGAGGGCUUCUGGUUCCACUUAGAAUAUGAUGUGGUUCCUUCUUUGUUUAAAAAUUGUGUAUAUUAACAUGAUGUAAGAAACCACUUUCUCCAUUAGUAACACAUUGCAGACUGACUGACCAGUCUUCCACAGAAACUUUCUGUCCUAGUUCUAAAAACUCCAUUGCCUAAUUUAUCUAGGGAAAAGGGGUAGGGCCUGUGUGUGUCUGGCCCAGGGGAGUAGUCUGUCUCAUUCCUUUUCCUCUUAAUACACUACCUUGUCUGCUUAUUACAGAAAAUAUAUUAGUUCAGGGAAGGAAUUGCUAGAGAGGGUUGUUUUCUGUCCUAGUCCACUCUGCCCCUUUGGGACUCAUGAAAUAACCAGGUCACAGAUUUUUCCGUUGAAUUGUUCUUUGUUCUUACUCUGCUUCAAUCUGCAGUGAGGAUCUUGUAACAAUUCAGCACUCUGCUACCCUUCGAAGUUGGGCAAGAACUGUGAAGAAAUGAAUGUUGCCCAUUGGACAAGCAGCAACCCAGGAAUGCUACUGCUGGCAUCGUUAUUGUGCAUUCAAAGAGGAAAUGUUAAUGUUGUAUUUCUAAAGAAGGAAUGCAGUUAUUUGUACUGAAGCAGAUGAUACUCUUUUUAUUUUUCCAACUGGUUUUGAGAUUAUUGCCUUGAUUUAACAACAUAUUAAUUUAUUUUUUAUACUUUAAAAAAAAUUAUUUCUCUUAAGUUAUAGAAAUUAAUUUCAGCUAUCAUCUUUUCCCAAGGAUUUUGAAUGGUGUACUUGUUUCAUAUCUCACUUCUAAUUAAAAACACAAUGGUAUUAUUAAGAAUUUUUGUUUGGGAAUAUUUUGUCUUCUUUUUCUGUACAUAUGCAGUGUUGCCGACACAACAUCUUAUUAAAAUUGACCUGUUUGUAAGAUGUUUUAGGACACUGAUUUAAUCGCAGACACUGGGGAAACCUGCUUGCUUUAUUCCAAGCAGUAUCUUUAAGAUGCAAAGGAACAAGGCCAUAAAGCUUCCUGAGCUUUGAGCUUUUUUUUUUCUUCUAACAAAAAUCCCUACAAAAAUUAUCAUAGAUUAAAAUGGCAUCAUAAUUAUGCAUUCUAAAACAUAUUUAUUUCCAUUUUUCCAAAAGUACUACACAAUUUAGCUGUAUGAAUGCCUGGUGGCCCCACUUUUAUAUUUAUAUGAGCAUCAGAAACUGCAAAUGUGGUUAUGAGGCCUCAAUCUGAGUCUGAAUAAUGCAUACAUGAUUUAUGUGCAUUAAGACGUGAUUUGUACUUCAGAAAAUCAAGUUAAUAAAGUUACUUGACUUGAGGAACAGAACUGAAUGUGUUGCAAUUUAAAUCCUAGGCCUCAGUUAAGUGUUUUGUACAUUAAAAGUGAAUCUUGGCCAACAAAUAUAUCUGUUGUGUUUCUGCAACUCUGCAAGUGGUCCUGUGCCAAAGUCCUUGGGCAAUCAUAGGCCUUUCAUUGUUUAUGUAAACACGUUCCACAAAUGCCACACUCUAAGUGGUUCUACAAAACCAGCCACACAUUCUGCUACCAUUGACAAGGUCAAGAUACACUUAUCUAAAAUAUUUCUGCAGUUUCAGAUUAUUUAAUCUGCUAGUAUGAAAAUUAUGAUGUAGCGAAAAAUACUGUUCCUUACAGAAAUGUAUUGCGUGUUUUACAUCAAGCUGUACGUUUCUCUACAUAAUAGUAAAGGAAAAACAUUAGAAUUAGGUUGACCGGUGUAAUAAUUGCAAAUUAAACUAUUAUUUUUUUCCUCUCUUUAGGCACAUCACUUUGCCUUCAGGCUAAAAUUCUAUGCAUCAAAUUUCAGACAGAUUUUUUUUUAAAGCAGUGGAACAUGUAAGCCCUUCAAACCAGGAUUUCAAGUGGAAAAUACAACCAAUCUGUAAUUACAGCUGCAUCACAACACUAGUGGAAUUCCACUAACUAGCAUUGCAUAAAGCCUCGCUUGCUCCUCCUACAUGCACUAAAUAUAAAUGUGCAUGAGCAGCAAAAGCAAUUUGCCUAAUCUCUGAAUCAGCUAAAUAGCAUUUGCACUAAAAUUUUGUCUGUAUACUAACUUAUCUGGUUAAACUGUGGGUCAAACCUGAUAAAUAAGCAGAAUCAUAAUUACGUUUUCUCUUUAGAUGUUGUGCUAUUUUGUUGCUUGCCUGAGAAGUUAAUGAUUCCACUUAUACUGUUCAAGUCAAUUUAUUUCUUUUGGAAAGGAUAGAGUUGGAUUUUUUUUAACAUAAUUUCAGUUAAAUGUUUCUGUAGGGUCCUACUUUUCUUGAAUUACUGAUGAAUUUACUUCUCUGCAAAUCCUGGAACACUAAGUUCAUUUUUCUGAAGUGCAUUGCAUCACAUGGGAUUGUUGAGUCUUGGAAAACAUUUGACUGGGGAUAAUGGUAUUGCAAUUAGCUGAAUGCUGCUCAUAAGGCUAAUUGCUUAUCAAGGUCU